rnacentral:rRNA from 1 species
UGUAAGCGUAUACCAAAGUUGUUGCAGUUAAAACGCUCGUAGUCGGACUUUGGCAGUUCCGGAUGUGUGCACGUCGUGUGCGCACUUCGCGGGGAUUGCUUUUGUGGUCUUGCGUAGGAUGAGGCACUUUUAUUAGUGAACGUCCUCACGCAACCACUUUUUACUGUGAGAAAAUCAGAGUGCUCAAAGCAGGCAUUUGCCGUGAAUGUAUUAGCAUGGAAUAAUGGAAUAGGACUUGGUUCUAUUUUGUUGGUUUGUUGGGACUGAGUAAUGAUUAAGAGGGACAGUUGGGGGCAUUUGUAUUUCGGUGCUAGAGGUGAAAUUCUUAGAUUACCGAAAGACAAACUGCUGCGAAAGCGUCUGCCAAGGAUGUUUUCAUUGA